AUUACAUGUUGAGCUCAUGCAUUACCCUUUAAGCCACGAUAGCUCCCUUCUUCCCCUAUUUAAACACCCUUCUCGCCAUGCUUGAAGGCAUCAGCAGAAAUUCAAUCCUCAGAAAAUACUCAGCUCGAUUUUGAAAUCUCAACCCAACAGGUAGAAGAUAGCAAACCAAACUCGAAUGACCGAUGGCGCUCCACAUCAAUGUCCUCAACGGGUGUACCUAUAGGGGUCGCAACCUAUGACGACCUGUAGUUUUGGCCCAUUGAUGCAGACCAAUGGAUCUAUGUUUGCUUUGAUUGAUCGUAGUGUUUAGUCAGGGAUCUUCUUUUUUUUGUUUAUGCAAAGUUUAAUGACAUUGCAGGACCGAAUUACUUUGGAGAAUAGUAGAAGCCCCCCUCUAAGCAAUCGGACAUAGACCGGACUGAGUUUUUUGUAUAUGAACAGUGUUCUUUAGUGAUCCCUGGCUUAUUAUGUACUAACUGAAAAUAUUAUUAAUAUAUAUAUGAAAUGAAAAUAUAAGUAUUAAUCUA